rnacentral:misc_RNA from 1 species
UCUCCGUUGGUGAACCAGCGGAGGGAUCAUUACAGAGUUGCAAAACUCCCAAACCAUUGUGAACGUUACCUAUCCCGUUGCUUCGGCGGGCGGCCCGGGCCCCGCGCCCGGCGCCCCCCGGCCCCCCGUGGGCGCCCGCCGGAGGUAAACCAAACCCUUGAAUUGCAUGGCCUCUCUGAGUCUUCUGUACUGAAAAAGUCAAAACUUUCAACAACGGAUCUCUUGGUUCUG